UCUCNGUAGGUGAACCUGCGGAGGGAUCAUUACAGAGUAUCAUGCCCUUCGGGGUAGAUCUCCCACCCUGUGUAUUAUAUACCUUUUGUUGCUUUGGCGGGCCGCCUCGGACACCGGCUCCGGCUGGUGCGUGCCCGCCAGAGGACCCCAAACUCUGAAUGUUAGUGUCGUCUGAGUACCAUCUAAUAGUUAAAACCUUCAACAACGGUUCUCUUGGUUCUGGCAUCGAUGAAGAACGCNGC
rnacentral:misc_RNA from 1 species